AUGAAGGAAGGCACAUCAACAAUGGUACAGGUAAAUGACAUGGACCCAAAUGUGUUCAAGACGAUGCUUGAUUUCAUCUACGGUGACUCGCUGCUAGUGCCGGAGGCCGGUGAGAAUAGUUGGGUCCUGCUACAGCACCUGCUCGUCGCAGCGGACAGGUAUGACCUCCAAAGAUUGAAGCACAUGUGUGAGAAGAAACUAUGCGAGCACAUCAGUGUGAGCACUGCGACGACCGUCCUGGCCCUGGCUGAUGAGCAAGGCUGUGGAGAGCUGAAGAAAGCGUGUUACGGUUUCCUCCGCUGUCCGGUAAAUCUGAGGGCAGUCGUGGAUACCGAAGGUUUUGAUCAUAUACAGGGGAGCUGCCCUCAUCUUAUAAAGGACAUUAUCUUUGGCGUGCUGCCCUCGUAG
rnacentral:rRNA from 1 species